GCGCUGGUAGCUCAGUUGGAUAGAGUACCUGGCUACGAACCAGGGGGUCGGGGAUUCGAAUUCUCCCCAGCGCGCCA
rnacentral:tRNA from 2 species